rnacentral:rRNA from 1 species
GCAUAUCAAUAAGCGGAGGAAAAGAAACCAACAGGGAUUGCCCUAGUAACGGCGAGUGAAGCGGCAACAGCUCAAAUUUGAAAUCUGGCGCAAGCCCGAGUUGUAAUUUGUAGAGGAUGCUUCUGGGUAGCGGCCGGUCUAAGUUCCUUGGAACAGGACGUCAUAGAGGGUGAGAAUCCCGUAUGUGAUUGGCUUGCACCCUCCACGUAGCUCCUUCGACGAGUCGAGUUGUUUGGGAAUGCAGCUCUAAAUGGGAGGUAAAUUUCUUCUAAAGCUAAAUACCGGCCAGAGACCGAUAGCGCACAAGUAGAGUGAUCGAAAGAUGAAAAGCACUUUGGAAAGAGAGUUAAAAAGCACGUGAAAUUGUUGAAAGGGAAGCGCCCGCAACCAGACUUUGCGGCAGUGUUCGGCCGGUCUUCUGACCGGUUUACUCGCUGUCGUGAGGCCAUCAUCGUCUGGGACCGCUGGAUAAGACCUUAGGAAUGUAGCUCCCUUCGGGGAGUGUUAUAGCCUCUGGUGAUGCAGCGCGUCUCGGGCGAGGUCCGCGCUUCGGCAAGGAUGAUGGCGUAAUGGUUGUCGGCGGCCCGUCUUGAAACACGGACCAAGGAGUCUAACAUCUAUGCGAGUGUUCGGGUGUCAAACCCCUACGCGUAAUGAAAGUGAACGGAGGUGGGAACUUUUUGUGCACCAUCGACCGAUCCUGAUGUCCUCGGAUGGAUUUGAGUAAGAGCAUAGCUGUUGGGACCCGAAAGAUGGUGAACUAUGCCUGAAUAGGGUGAAGCCAGAGGAAACUCUGGUGGAGGCUCGCAGCGGUUCUGACGUGCAAAUCGAUCGUCAAAUUUGGGUAUAGGGGCGAAAGACUAAUCGAACCAUCUAGUAGCUGGUUCCUGC